AGUCCAUGUGGAGGCGAUGAACCAGGGCGUUUUGCUGGUCGCUCACUGACAUAGGCGUCGGUGAAGCCCUGGGGAGCCAGUAGCGAAACCGGCCACAGGCU
rnacentral:ncRNA from 2 species